AUUGAACGAUGGCGGCAUGCUUUACACAUGCAAGUCGAACGGUAACAGGCCGCAAGGUGCUGACGAGUGGCGAACGGGUGAGUAAUGCAUCGGAACGUGCCCAGUCGUGGGGGAUAACUACUCGAAAGAGUAGCUAAUACCGCAUACGAUCUAUGGAUGAAAGCGGGGGACCGUAAGGCCUCGCGCGAUUGGAGCGGCCGAUGUCAGAUUAGGUAGUUGGUGGGGUAAAGGCUCACCAAGCCAACGAUCUGUAGCUGGUCUGAGAGGACGACCAGCCACACUGGGACUGAGACACGGCCCAGACUCCUACGGGAGGCAGCAGUGGGGAAUUUUGGACAAUGGGCGCAAGCCUGAUCCAGCAAUGCCGCGUGCAGGAAGAAGGCCUUCGGGUUGUAAACUGCUUUUGUGCGGAACGAAACGGCUCUGGUUAAUACCCGGGGCUAAUGACGGUACCGUAAGAAUAAGCACCGGCUAACUACGUG
rnacentral:rRNA from 1 species